AGCUUUGCGCAGAGGCGAUAUCAUUACUAAUGAGGUUCUGACCGAGGUGCGAUUAUUGCUAGUUGGAAACUUUAACCAAUAAUAAUAAUUUUAUAUGUUUUUAUACAUCCGUGUUGUCAAUGGAAAAAUUUUUAAAUG